AACGAACGCUGGCGGCAUGCCUAACACAUGCCAGUCGAACGAGACCUUCGGGUCUAGUGGCGCACGGGUGCGUAACGCGUGGGAACCUGCCCUUAGGUUCGGAAUAACUCCCCGAAAGGGGUGCUAAUACCGGAUAAUGUCUUCGGACCAAAGAUUUAUCGCCUUUGGAUGGGCCCGCGUUGGAUUAGCUAGUUGGUAGGGUAAAAGCCUAGCAAGGCGACGAUCCAUAGCUGGUCUGAGAGGAUGAUCAGCCACACUGGGACUGAGACACGGCCCAGACUCCUACGGGAGGCAGCAGUGGGGAAUAUUGGACAAUGGGCGAAAGCCUGAUCCAGCAAUGCCGCGUGAGUGAUGAAGGCCUUAGGGUUGUAAAGCUCUUUUACCCGGGAUGAUAAUGACAGUACCGGGAGAAUAAGCUCCGGCUAACUCCGUG
rnacentral:rRNA from 1 species